GACGAAGGGGGCUAGCGUUGUUCGGAAUUACUGGGCGUAAAGCGCGUGUAGGCGGUUUUCCAAGUUGGAUGUGAAAGCCUUGAGCUCAACUCAAGAAAUGCAUUCAGGACUGGGCGACUAGAGGACCGGAGAGGAUAGUGGAAUUCCCAGUGUAGUGGUGAAAUACGUAGAGAUUGGGAAGAACACCAGUGGCGAAGGCGGCUAUCUGGACGGUUUCUGACGCUAAGACGCGAAAGCGUGGGGAGCAAACAGG
rnacentral:rRNA from 1 species